rnacentral:rRNA from 1 species
AUGGAAGAAGGGCUGACGGGCGAGCAGAUGGCGGCGUUCCAGGAGGCCUUCUCCCUCUUCGACAAGAACGGCGAUGGAUGCAUCAGCUUGGAAGAGCUGGCCGCGGUGACUCGCUCCCUCGGCCUCGACCCGACCAACCAGGAGCUCAACGACAUGAUGUGUGAAGUCGACAUGGAUGGGAACGGCACCAUCGAUUUCCAGGAGUUCUUGAGCCUUAUUGUCAGGAAGAUGAAGGACGGGGACGGCGAUGAAGAGCUCAAGGAAGCUUUCGAGGUCCUGGACAAGGAUCGAAAUGGUUUUAUCUCUCCUGUUGAGCUGAGGACGGUGAUGAUCAAUCUCGGGGAGAAGAUGACCGACGAGGAGGUCGAGCAGAUGAUCAAGGAGGCGGACACCGAUGGCGACGGGCAGGUGAACUACGAUGAAUUCGUGCUCAUGAUGAAGAAUGCCGAGCGCAAGAUAAUCGGGUGA